GGCUGGGAGCUUGGGAAUAGCCUUGAAAUAAAUAGAAAAAGGAGGCUUGUUUCCUGAAAUCAAGGGGGUUGGAACUACAUGAUCCUUGAGGUCCCUUCCAACCCGGGUCAUUCUGUGAUUCUGUGUGGGUCAGGAUGACUCGCUAUAGCAAUGUGCUUCUCUUAAAGUUACUCGCUUUUUCAUGAAAAGGGGAAAAAUAAGGUGAAUUUGAAUAGGAGCCGUCUGAGAUGGAGCAGCCUGUGUUUGCCAAAGGCUUUUGCAGCGUUGGGAUGUGAACAGCGUGUGGUGACGUAGGGCAGGUACAAGGUAUUCCAUCAUGAAGUUUCUCUUCAGGGAACAGAAGUUCCAACUAUUCAGCAUCCCUUCUUUUACACGGCCUACUUUAAACCUGACACGAUGCAAUGUGCUCAAAGAAGACAGUGUUAUCGUUGUUGGCUCUAACACAUCAAAACAACAGUCUUGAAAACUUAUGUCUAAGCAUCCUGGUUUGUUAAGUGUGUAGCCGCAUCCAUCCCCACAUCCGGUGUCAGUCUUCUUCUCCUACCUGCUCAUACACAACCUGUAAACAGUGACACAAUCCCUCUGUGGAAAGAACUCUGCAUUCUUUCAAGUCUGCUGGCAGUGACUCUGAGGGACGGAGCUUAUCGUGGGCAUCGAGGCCAUACUAAUGCCUACCCACACAAACACACAGAGGAGGAAGCCUUUGAUUUCUCAGCACCCACUACUGCCUGAAACAGCACUGCGGGUCCUUACACCUCCAUGAGUCAACACUUCCCUUUCCGGAGGUACUACAGUUGUUCCCUUCUCAACUGCAGCACAAAGAACCACCCAGCCAGCAGCCAAACCCAUAACGUCCACAGUAGCAGCAACGGCCUGGGAAGAACCACCCCCUCCUACCCCUCUCCAAUGAGGUUCCACCAUUCAGUGGUUCAUCAGUUCACAAAAGCUGUUUGCUCGAAUCCAGGUGAGACAAAUGUAGGUUGGUCAUCACUUUCCUCUCCAGUACAUCCAGCAGACAACACACACACUUGUCCUCUCCCAUUGCAACCAGCAGCAGUGCAUUAACAGCCCCUCGCACACAAGGUCACAGCAAACAUGCGCUCUUACCGAACUGUGGUGGGGGAAAAGACUUCAGUUCUUUUGCUGCAGGUUCCUGGGAACGAGGAAUGCCAAACAGCAAACAUUUACUGUCCCCCAUAUCACUUACCUGCUUGAUGUUGUCAACAGCGAACAUGUAGAACGGCUGUCAUGAAAUAACAUCCCUAUGAAAGAGCGACCUCAAUGUUAUUAGGACACGUAAGACCAGCCAGAAGCAUUUCAUCCUUACACCUUUCCACCUUUCUGUGGCAGUCAGGGCAGGUGCACCCACAAACACCAUCAUCUCCCUGUACCACAGAACUCCCACCUCCAUUUCCGGGUCUGGACAGGCAAUUUUAAACAAAAACAAAACAAAACCAAAAACCAACCAAAAAAGAACCAAUUA